CUUUUUCACACUUGCUGCUGCACGUUUCCUUAGCCCCUGUCUCCCAGCUCCUCCUAGGGAUGGGAUGCUGCUAUAGAAAAAGCUCAUGAAACUCAAAGGCACAGAGACAAGCUCAUGGCUGCAUUAUGAAGCUUGCAUAGUCCCAGGAGAGCGGAUAGCCCUCUUAGCAGAUUCAAAUUCCACUCUCUCUAGAAACAUGAAGUAGCAGCCUACUGUGUACAAGAAAGCCAUCAGCAAUGAGGGACCUGCAGCCAAGUUCGUUACGGACCAGCUUGCUGAGUUGUCUUGAAAAGCGGGCUUACAGGUGUUCUAAGCCCAUGUUUUAUCCUGAAGUUCCCCUCGACAAGAAAAACGAAUUCAUAGCACAAAGUACACCAGUUUAAGACUAGCCUUAGAAUUCUUUUUUGCAUUAAUCCAAACAGAAGAGAUUUGUUUUACCAUUCCUUCAAUCGUUCCCACAGAGAGAAGUCAGAAAUCUGACUGGUAAGAAAUUUUUACCCUUUUGCCGGCAUGCCAAUCUUCUGGGUUCUCUUUCUCUGAGCAGUCCUAGUGAUCCAGCUUGUGGCACCAUCACCCUGGGGCCAAGCCACAUUAUAAAGGAAUUUUUUUUUUUCAUUCUGGCCAGAGCAAAAUACAUGUGAUAAAACACAGACAUUAGCCACUCUGCUUAGCACCCAAUAUCAAACUGGCAAGGCUUAAAUUUUCCCCCAGAUGAGUCCCAUCAUCUUUAAUCCAACCUCCGACUUGGAGUAUCAACAUAUGGUCUCUGGGCAAGAUGGUCACCCUGAGUGACAGAAAAUAUAGGAAAGGAAAAGUAGAGAAGGAAAGUAUUACCUGUGGUAGGGUGGGGAAGGUGAAGAGCUCAGGGAAGCCAGAGAAAACGCCCACUCAUUGCAGCCGACAAUGAAAAGUUCAAGGCCGGGUGUGGUGGCUCGAACCUGUAAUCCUAGUACUUUGGGAGGCCGAGGCGGGUGGAUCACCUGAGGUCGGGAGUUGAAGACCAGCCUGACCAACAGGGAGAAACCCUGUCUCCACUAAAAAUACACAAUUAGCCUAGCGUGGUGGCGCAUUGCUGUAAUCCCAGCUACUCAGGAGGCUGAGGCAGGAGAAUUGCUUGAACCUGGGAGGCGGAGGUUGUGGUGAGACGAGAUCGUGCCAUUGCACUCCAGCCUGGGAAACAAGAGCAAAACUCCAUCUCAAAAAACAAGAAAGGAAGGAAGGAAGGAAGAAAGAAAAGGAAAGGAAAGGAAAGGAAAAAGGAAAGGAAAGGAAAAGACAGGACAGGACAGGAAAGGAAAGGAAAAGAAAGGAAAGGAAAGGAAAAGACAGGACAGGACAGGAAAGGAAAGGAAAAGAAAGGAAAGGAAAGGAAAGGAAAGGAAAGGAAAGGAAAGGAAAAGACAGGACAGGACAGGAAAGGAAAGGAAAAGAAAGGAAAGGAAAGGAAAGGAAAGGAAAGGAAAGGCAAGGCAAGGCAAGGCAAGGCAAGGCGCGGUGGCUCACGCCUGUAAUCCCAGCACUUUGGGAGGCUAAGGCGGGAGGAUCACCUGAGGUCAGGAGUUCGAGACCAGCCUCAACAUGGAAAAACCCCGUCUCUACUAAAAAUACAAAAUUACCUGGGCGUGGUGGUGCAUGCCUGUAACCCCAGCUACUUGGGAG
rnacentral:lncRNA from 10 species